CAGGCCUAACACAUGCAAGUCGAGGGGCAGCAUGGAGUCAGCUUGCUGACUUUGAUGGCGACCGGCGCACGGGUGCGUAACACGUAUCCAAUCUACCCAUGGCUCGGGAAUAGCCUUUCGAAAGAAAGAUUAAUGCCCGAUGGUCUUACGGAGGGACAUCUCUCUGUAAGUAAAGAUUUAUCGGCGAUGGAUGAGGAUGCGCCCGAUUAGGUAGUAGGCGGGGUAACGGCCCACCUAGCCGACGAUCGGUAGGGGUUCUGAGAGGAAGGUCCCCCACAUUGGAACUGAGACACGGUCCAAACUCCUACGGGAGGCAGCAGUGAGGAAUAUUGGUCAAUGGCCGAGAGACUGAACCAGCCAAGUAGCGUGAAGGAUGACUGCCCUACGGGUUGUAAACUUCUUUUGUUUGGGAAUAAAGUGAGUCACGUGUGACUUUUUGUAUGUACCAUACGAAUAAGCAUCGGCUAAUUCCGUGCCAGCAGCCGCGGUAAUACGGAAGAUGCGAGCGUUAUCCGGAUUUAUUGGGUUUAAAGGGAGCGUAGGCGGCCCGUUAAGUCAGCGGUCAAAUGUCAGUGCCCAACAUUGGCAAGCCGUUGAUACUGGUGGGCUUGAAUACACACAAGGAAGGUGGAAUUCGUCGUGUAGCGGUGAAAUGCUUAGAUAUGACGAAGAACUCCGAUUGCGAAGGCAGCUUUCUGGGGUGCGAUUGACGCUGAGGCUCGAAAGUGCGGGAAUCAAACAGGAUUAGAUACCCUGGUAGUCCGCACCGUAAACGAUGAAUGCUCGUUCUGGGCGAUACACAGUCCGGGACCUAGGGAAACCAUUAAGCAUUCCACCUGGGGAGUACGCCGGCAACGGUGAAACUCAAAGGAAUUGACGGGGACCCGCACAAGCGGUGGAGCAUGUGGUUUAAUUCGAAGCAACGCGAAGAACCUUACCAGAUCUUGAGAUCCAGAUGAAUACAUGGUAAUGCAUGUAGCUCUUCGGAGCAUCUGAGACAGGUGGUGCAUGGUUGUCGUCAGCUCGUGUCGUGAGAUGUUGGGUUAAGUCCCGCAACGAGCGCAACCCUUGUCCAUAGUAGCCAGCAGUAAGAUGGGCACUCUAUGGAGACUGCCAGGGAUAACCUGGAGGAAGGUGGGGAUGACGUCAAAUCAUCAUGCCCCUUAUGAUCUGGGCCACACACGUGCUACAAUGUCGUAACAAAGGGACGCGACCCCGCGAGGGUGAGCAAAUCUCAAAAAUAACGACCCAGUUCGGACUGUAGGCUGCAACCCGCCUGCACGAAGCUGGAAUCGCUAGUAAUCGCAGAUCAGCAUGCUSCSGUKKWASGUUCCCGG
rnacentral:rRNA from 1 species